rnacentral:rRNA from 1 species
CGCGUAGGUGGUUUCGUGUGUCGAUGGUGAAAUCCUACAGCUCAACUGUAGAACUGCCAUCGAAACUACGGAGCUUGAGGGCAGGAGGGGAGAGUGGAAUUCCUAGUGUAGCGGUGAAAUGCGUAGAUAUUAGGAGGAACGCCGGUGGCGAAAGCGAUUCUCUGGACUGUUUCUGACACUGAGGCGCGAAAGCUAGGGGAGCAAACA